AGGAUAAACGCUGGCGGCGUGCCUAACACAUGCAAGUCGAGCGGACACCACUUUGUAGCAAUACAGAUGAAGUGUUAGCGGCAGACGGGUGAGUAACACGUAGUCAACCUACCUUGCCGUCCGGGAUAACUAGCCGAAAGGUUAGCUAAUACCGCAUACGAUCGUCGAGCGGCAUCGCUUGACGAUGAAAGGAGCAAUCCGCAGAGAGACGGGACCGCGUCCCAUUAGCUAGUUGGUGGGGUAAAGGCCUACCAAGGCGACGAUGGGUAGCUGGCUUGAGAGAGCGACCAGCCACACUGGGACUGAGACACGGCCCAGACUCCUACGGGAGGCAGCAGUGAGGAAUUUUCCGCAAUGGGCGAAAGCCUGACGGAGCGACGCCGCGUGUGGGAAGAAGGCCUUCGGGUCGUAACCACUGUCGAAGGGAAGAUAUUGACGGUACCCUUGGAGGAAGCCCGGCUAACUACGUGCCAGCAGCCGC
rnacentral:rRNA from 1 species